UGGCACAGUAGGCAGUGCAUCAGUCUUAUAAGCUGAAGGUCCUGAGUUCAGUCCUCAG
rnacentral:tRNA from 1 species